rnacentral:rRNA from 1 species
GAUGAACGCUGGCGGCGUGCCUAAUACAUGCCAGUCGAGCGGACGGACGAGACUCUUGCUUCUCUGAUGUUAGCGGCGGACGGGUGAGUAACACGUGGAUAACCUACCUAUAAGACUGGGAUAACUUCGGGAAACCGGAGCUAAUCCCGGAUGAUAUUUUGAACCGCAUGGGUCAAAAGUGAAAGACGGUCUUGCUGUCACUUAUAGCUGGAUACGCGCUGCAUUAGCUAGUUGGUAAGGUAACAGCUUACCACGGCAACGAUGCAUAGCCGACCUGAGAGGGUGAUAGGCCACCUGGGAACUGAGACACGGUCCAGACGCCUACGGGAGGCAGCAGUAGGGAAUGGGCCGCAACAGGCGAAAGCAUUACGGAGCAAGCCGGCGCGAGUGAUGGAGGCGUUCGGUGCGUAAAACUCUGCUAUUAGGGAAGAACAUAUGUGGAAGGAACCGUGCACAGCGUGACGGUAAUGAAUCAGAAAGCCACGGCUAACUACGUG